ACCAAAGUUCCAACUGCAUUCCUUUUCUCCCUAAACUGAUGGCCGCAUCACUUCUUUUCAGCUUCGCAGAAUCAGUGUUAGGGAAGCUUGCUACUGCUGCCGUUCAAGAAGCUUCUUUGGCGCUUGGUGUGCAUAGCGAGCUACAACAGAUGAAAGAGAAUAUGGAAAUCAUCAGAGGUGUUCUAUUAGAUGCUGAGAAGAAGACUACGCAUAGCAGUGGGUUGAGCCAAUGGCUGAGACAGGUCAAGCGCGUGUUUUCUGAUGCUGAAGACAUAGUCGAUGAUUUCCAGUGCGAAGCGUUGCGGAAGCAUGUUGUCAACACCUAUGGUAGCUUCUCAAGGAAGGUACGUCGUUUCUUCUCGACAAGUAAUCCUGUUGUUUAUCGUCUUAGAAUGGCGCAUCACAUUCAAGACAUCAACACCAGGUUGGCCAAACUUGAAACUCAAAGAAGCAUGUUUGGCCUUCAAAUCAUUCACCACGAUACACGUGUGGUGCAUGUGAGGGAUAUGACUCAUUCUUAUGUAAACCCUUCCAAUGUUACAGGAAGGGAAGAUGAUAAGAAUGAAAUAGUAAGGCUUUUGGUGCAAGAUGCUGAUCACGAAAGCCUUUCUAUUAUUCCCAUUGUGGGAAUGGGAGGCUUGGGAAAAACCACACUUGCUAAGUUGGUCUUCAAUGACACCAAUAUUGACGCAUGUUUUUCAUUGAAGAUGUGGGUUUGUGUCUCUAAUGAUUUUGACCUUAGGAAUGUUCUUCUUAAAAUUCUCAACACUUUUAAAAACCCAACUAGGGAAAACUUCAAUAACUUUGACAUAGAGCAACUUCAAAUUCGUUUGAGAAAUACACUUCAAGGGCAGAAGUUCUUGCUCGUGUUGGAUGACGUGUGGAACGAAGAUCGUGCAAAAUGGGAUGAGUUGAAGGAAAUAAUAGAUGUUGGUGCUGAAGGGAGUAAAAUCCUAGUGACUACUCGUAGCCAUGCAGUAGCUGCCAUGAUGCACACUAAACCCUCCGAUUUGUACCUUCUAGAAUGCAUCUCUGAAGAGGAUUCUUUUUCUCUUUUUGUGAAAUGUGCUUUUGCAAAGGGGGUUGAGAAAAAGCAUCCACAACUAUUGGAGAUUGGGAAAGAAAUAGUGGAAAAAUGUGGUGGGUUACCUUUAGCAGUGAAAACGGUUGGGAGUUCAUUGUUCUCAAGGUUUGAUAAGAAAGAGUGGGAGUCUAUAAGAGACAAUGAGAUUUGGAAUUUAAAACAAAUUGAAAAUGAAAUUUUGCCUGCUCUCAAACUAAGCUACGAUCAACUCCCUUCAUAUUUAAAACCAUGUCUUGCUUCUUUCUCCUUUUACCAACAGGAUACUGAUAUUAUGAGUUCUCACAUUUCUGCCCUGUGGGAAGCACUUGGUUUUCUUCCACCACCAAAGGAAAAUGAAUCGGUGAUUGAUGUUGCCAGUCAACUUUUGCAUGAGCUAUGGUCAAGAUCUUUUCUUUCAAAUUAUGUUGACCUGGGGAGCUAUUCUUGGUUUAACUUACAUGAUUGGUGCACGAUCUUGCAAUUUAUAUUUCAAAAGGCGAGUUUCAAAGAGUAGAUUUUCGCAAUACAAAAAUCUCUGGGAAUGUCCAACAUUUAGCAUUUAUGGCAAAUAAUUUGCCUGCUCAUGUUGUUCCUCCCACAGGUCUGAGAACUCUGUAUUUCCCCUACGGAGUCAACAACGAAGAUUUCUUGAAUACAGUAUUUUCAAGAUGCAAAUACCUCAGGGUUUUAGAUUUAAGUUACUCGGAAUACAAGAGUUUGCCUUACUGCAUUGGAAAGUUGAAACAUUUAAGAUAUCUUAGUCUCGACUGGAAUGAAAAACUAGAGGGACUCCCUGAUUCAAUCUGCAAGCUUCAAAAUUUGCAAACAUUGGCUCUUAAUGGAUGCAUAAAGCUACAAAAAUUACCUAAAGGAAUAAGAAAUCUAAUUAGCCUUCGUCACCUUGUUAUAACCACCAGGCAACCUGAUUUUCCAGAGAAAGAGGUUGCAAGUUUGACUUCAUUAGAAAAAUUAUAUUUUUAUCGAUGUGAUAAUUUGGAGUCACUGUUCAAAGGAAUACAAUUUUCCACUCUUAAAGUAUUGUUUUUCUCUGAAUGUGGAAGUCUAAGGUCAGUGUCGUUUGAUGCCAUUAGAAAUUUAGAGGUUUUGGUUAUCUCCGAUUGUGGCAAGUUAGAAUUGUCAAUGGGCCUUAGCAACCAAAUCCUGGAUUCAAGGUUAAAGUUUCUUUCUCUUGAAUUCUUGCCACAACUGGUCACAUUGCCUCAGUGGCUUCAAGGAUCUGUGAACACUUUAAUUACCUUAUCGAUUAUAGGUUGCAUCAAUUUGGAUGAGCUUCCUGAGUGGCUUCCAACUCUAAUUUGUCUCAAAGUCCUUAUCAUUCGCUAUUGUCCAAAUCUGGUGUCACUCCCUCAUAACAUGCAUCACCUCACCAAUCUUGAAGAGUUAGAAAUGACUGGUUGUCCUGAAUUAUGGAAAAAAUUCAAGCCAGAAGUUGGGUCGGAUUGGGACAAGAUAUCAUUCAUCAAAGAUGUUUUCAACAAUGAAGAAGAAGACGAAGAAGAAGACGAUGAAGAAAAUGAAGAAGAAGAAGAUGAAGAAGAUGAAGACUCAGCUGAGCUAUACCACUUUCUCGAUCUCUCCACCUCAUAA